rnacentral:tRNA from 1 species
GCACCCAUAGCUCAACGGAUAGAGUGCCAGACUUCGAAUCUGGGCGUUGGGGGUUCGAGUCCCUCUGGGUGCACCA